rnacentral:tRNA from 1 species
GAGAUGUUAAAAGUGAAUGCUGCUAACUUAUCACUAUAGCGGUUAAAAUCCGUUUACAUCUCU